CAGGGAGUGCUUGCACUCUGCUGACGACCGGCGCACGGGUGCGUAACGCGUAUGCAAUCUACCUCUUACUGAGGGAUAGCCCAUGGAAACGUGGAUUAAUACCUCAUAGUAUUAUAGACUGGCCUCAGUUUAUGAUUAAAGGUUACGGUAAGAGAUGAGCAUGCGUCCUAUUAGCUAGAUGGUAAGGUAACGGCUUACCAUGGCUACGAUAGGUAGGGGUCCUGAGAGGGAGAUCCCCCACACUGGUACUGAGACACGGACCAGACUCCUACGGGAGGCAGCAGUGAGGAAUAUUGGACAAUGGGCGAGAGCCUGAUCCAGCCAUGCCGCGUGCAGGAAGACGGCCCUAUGGGUUGUAAACUGCUUUUACAGAGGAAGAACCCUCCUUACGUGUAAGGAGCUGACGGUACUCUAUGAAUAAGGAUCGGCUAACUCCGUGCCAGCAGCCGCGGUAAUACGGAGGAUCCAAGCGUUAUCCGGAAUCAUUGGGUUUAAAGGGUCCGUAGGCGGGUCUAUAAGUCAGUGGUGAAAGUCUGCAGCUUAACUGUAGAACUGCCAUUGAUACUGUAGACCUUGAAUUAGUAUGAAGUGGUUAGAAUG
rnacentral:rRNA from 1 species